rnacentral:rRNA from 1 species
UGAGGAAUUUCCUCUGUAAUGGAUAAAACACCUAAAUCUUACUAAAAUUUGUUAAAUCAGUUUGUAUACCACUAUUAAAGUAGUAUUUCAUAACUAUUACUUAAAUUUUUAAAAAAAAUAAAUUAAGUCAAGGUGCAGCAAAAGUUUUAGGAUGAAGUGAAUUACAAUUCUUUUUAGUUUUAAAAAUUUUUUUGAAAAAAUUUUUAAAAUAGGAUUUGAAAGUAAAAAAUCAAUAGUAUGGCUUU